rnacentral:lncRNA from 1 species
GUUAAUGGAUAUACAUAAACAGUGAACUGUUUGCGCAUUCAAAGGUUUCUUAUGUUUCUAGAUAUUAACGGUUAGCCAAUUUUAGAAAAUGACUUGUCGCUUCCGUGCGGUUAUAGAAUUGUUUCGAGGUUUUCUUCCUCAUUUGUGUUAACCCUACCCCGUUUUGUCUUUAGACCACUAUGAUUCUGCUUUUUCUCUCUAAAAUUCAUCAUUUUCUUUAGUGUUUCUUGCAAAAUUGAACCUCCAUAAUCAUUAUAAACCUCUUAAACUGUGAGUUUAUUCUUAAAUAUAGUAAAAUUUAUUUUUAAGCUAACAAGCCCCUUGAGUUUAUAAUAUUUAAUUUUAAGGAAUGAUGACAUAAGUAAUGACAUAAGAAAUGAUGACGUAAGCAUUGACAUAAGUGAUGGCGUAAGAAAAAGUGUAGAGAAAGUUAAGGAAUUCUAGAAUUUAGUAAGACAUUUAUGAAGGAUAAUCUCAUCUUUACUUAGAUAUUUAAUUCUAAGUAAAGAUGACAUAAUCAAUGACAUAAGUGAUGAUGUAAGAGAAGGUUGUAGAGAAAAGAUAAGAAUUCUAGAAUUUAGUAAGGUAUUUAUGAAGGUUAACCUCAACCAUUGAUCAAGAGUUAUGGUGGCAAAAUCCUACCCAUCCAUUAGUCUUAAGAAGUCCUAUAAAUACCCCCACCACCUUUCAUUUUAAAUGCAAUUUAAAAAAAAAUUCGUUCUCUUCUAUUCUAAGUCAUAAUAACAAGAGUAGAGAAAUCCUUAAUUUAGAAAGGUCUAAAGAAAUCAAGAUCAAGAGGUAAGUAACACUUCAACUCCAAUGUAAGGACAAAUUAAGUUUUAGUUUUAACAAUCCCUUUAUAUUAUGAUGGUUGUUAUGGUGUGAUUACUUAUAUUCUAAAUCUUUAUAUGGUCGGCCCUGCCGCUUAAUAUGUGAUACUUAUACUUAAUUAUGCUAUGGUUGGCUCUGCCGCCUAAUAUGUGAUACUUAUAUUAAUUAUGUUAUGGUCGGCUUUGCCGCCUAUACUAAAGACUCUUGUUUUUAAAUAAA